UGCGUACCUUUUGUAUAAUGGGUCAGCGACUUAUAUUCUGUAGCAAGGUUAACCGAAUAGGGGAGCCGGAGGGAAACCGAGUCUUAAUUGGGCGUUAAGUUGCAGGGUAUAGACCCGAAACCCGGUGAUCUAGCCAUGGGCAGGUUGAAGGUUGGGUAACACUAACUGGAGGACCGAACCGACUAAUGUUGAAAAAUUAGCGGAUGACCUGUGGCUGGGGGUGAAAGGCCAAUCAAACCGGGAGAUAGCUGGUUCUCCCCGAAAGCUAUUUAGGUAGCGCCUCGUGAAUUCAUCUCCGGGGGUAGAGCACUGUUUCGGCUAGGGGGCCAUCCCGGCUUACCAACCCGAUGCAAACUGCGAAUACCGGAGAAUGUUAUCACGGGAGACACACGGCGGGUGCUAACGUCCGUCGUGAAGAGGGAAACAACCCAGACCGCCAGCUAAGGUCCCAAAGUCAUGGUUAAGUGGGAAACGAUGUGGGAAGGCCCAGACAGCCAGGAUGUUGGCUUAGAAGCAGCCAUCAUUUAAAGAAAGCGUAAUAGCUCACUGGUCGAGUCGGCCUGCGCGGAAGAUGUAACGGGGCUAAACCAUGCACCGAAGCUGCGGCAGCGAACGUAUCACCCAAGACAACUUUACGGAGUUGACGAUUGACGGAGCGAAGCGACGUCAAAGCGUUCAUUAAAGUCGAGUUGGCUUAGGGAUACGUUCGUUGGGUAGGGGAGCGUUCUGUAAGCCUGUGAAGGUGUGUCGUGAGGCAUGCUGGAGGUAUCAGAAGUGCGAAUGCUGACAUAAGUAACGAUAAAGCGGGUGAAAAGCCCGCUCGCCGGAAGACCAAGGGUUCCUGUCCAACGUUAAUCGGGGCAGGGUGAGUCGACCCCUAAGGCGAGGCCGAAAGGCGUAGUCGAUGGGAAACGGGUUAAUAUUCCCGUACUUGGUGUUACUGCGAAGGGGGGACGGAGAAGGCUAUGUUGGCCGGGCGACGGUUGUCCCGGUUUAAGCGUGUAGGUGUGUGUUCCAGGUAAAUCCGGUUCACUUUAACACUGAGGCGUGACGACGAGGCACUACGGUGCUGAAGCAACAAAUGCCCUGCUUCCAGGAAAAGCCUCUAAGCAUCAGGUAACAUCAAAUCGUACCCCAAACCGACACAGGUGGUCAGGUAGAGAAUACCAAGGCGCUUGAGAGAACUCGGGUGAAGGAACUAGGCAAAAUGGUGCCGUAACUUCGGGAGAAGGCACGCUGACACGUAGGUGAAGUGAUUUACUCAUGGAGCUGAAGUCAGUCGAAGAUACCAGCUGGCUGCAACUGUUUAUUAAAAACACAGCACUGUGCAAACACGAAAGUGGACGUAUACGGUGUGACGCCUGCCCGGUGCCGGAAGGUUAAUUGAUGGGGUCAGCGCAAGCGAAGCUCCUGAUCGAAGCCCCGGUAAACGGCGGCCGUAACUAUAACGGUCCUAAGGUAGCGAAAUUCCUUGUCGGGUAAGUUCCGACCUGCACGAAUGGCGUAAUGAUGGCCAGGCUGUCUCCACCCGAGACUCAGUGAAAUUGAACUCGCUGUGAAGAUGCAGUGUACCCGCGGCAAGACGGAAAGACCCCGUGAACCUUUACUAUAGCUUGACACUGAACAUUGAGCCUUGAUGUGUAGGAUAGGUGGGAGGCUUUGAAGUGUGGACGCCAGUCUGCAUGGAGCCGACCUUGAAAUACCACCCUUUAAUGUUUGAUGUUCUAACGUGGACCCGUAAUCCGGGUUGCGGACAGUGUCUGGUGGGUAGUUUGACUGGGGCGGUCUCCUCCUAAAGAGUAACGGAGGAGCACGAAGGUUGGCUAAUCCUGGUCGGACAUCAGGAGGUUAGUGCAAUGGCAUAAGCCAGCUUGACUGCGAGCGUGACGGCGCGAGCAGGUGCGAAAGCAGGUCAUAGUGAUCCGGUGGUUCUGAAUGGAAGGGCCAUCGCUCAACGGAUAAAAGGUACUCCGGGGAUAACAGGCUGAUACCGCCCAAGAGUUCAUAUCGACGGCGGUGUUUGGCACCUCGAUGUCGGCUCAUCACAUCCUGGGGCUGAAGUAGGUCCCAAGGGUAUGGCUGUUCGCCAUUUAAAGUGGUACGCGAGCUGGGUUUAGAACGUCGUGAGACAGUUCGGUCCCUAUCUGCCGUGGGCGCUGGAGAACUGAGGGGGGCUGCUCCUAGUACGAGAGGACCGGAGUGGACGCAUCACUGGUGUUCGGGUUGUCAUGCCAAUGGCACUGCCCGGUAGCUAAAUGCGGAAGAGAUAAGUGCUGAAAGCAUCUAAGCACGAAACUUGCCCCGAGAUGAGUUCUCCCUGAGACUUAGAGUCUCCUGAAGGAACGUUGAAGACGACGACGUUGAUAGGCCGGGUGUGUAAGCGCAGCGAUGCGUUGAGCUAACCGGUACUAAUGAACCGUGAGGCUUAACCUUACA
rnacentral:rRNA from 1 species